rnacentral:rRNA from 1 species
UGGGGAAUUUUGGACAAUGGGCGAAAGCCUGAUCCAGCAAUGCCGCGUGUGUGAAGAAGGCCUUCGGGUUGUAAAGCACUUUUGUCCGGAAAGAAAUCCUUGGCUCUAAUACAGUCGGGGGAUGACGGUACCGGAAGAAUAAGCACCGGCUAACUACGUGCCAGCAGCCGCGGUAAUACGUAGGGUGCAAGCGUUAAUCGGAAUUACUGGGCGUAAAGCGUGCGCAGGCGGUUUGCUAAGACCGAUGUGAAAUCCCCGGGCUCAACCUGGGAACUGCAUUGGUGACUGGCAGGCUAGAGUAUGGCAGAGGGGGGUAGAAUUCCACGUGUAGCAGUGAAAUGCGUAGAGAUGUGGAGGAAUACCGAUGGCGAAGGCAGCCCCCUGGGCCAAUACUGACGCUCAUGCACGAAAGCGUGGGGAGCAAACAGGAUUAGAUACCCUGGUAGUCCACGCCCUAAACGAUGUCAACUAGUUGUUGGGGUCUUCGGACCUUGGUAGCGCAGCUAACGCGUGAAGUUGACCGCCUGGGGAGUACGGUCGCAAGAUUAAAACUUAAAUGAAUUGACGGGGUCAUAGCUGUUU